rnacentral:lncRNA from 1 species
AAUUUUUGAGAAAAUAAGGGAAUUUUGUUCAAAAUUAAAUAUCCAAAAAUUACAAAAAUCGGAAACAAGUAUAAUUUUUGGGGUCAUUAAUGCAGAUGCAUCUUAUACCCAAAUUUUAGAUACGGUGCUUUUAAUCACGAAAUGGGUUAUCUGGAAAACUAGAAAUAUUGCAAAAUAUCAAAAGAAAGGGAUAAGUAAAUUGGUGAUUUUAAAUAUGAUAAAACAUGAAAUGCAAUUUUCUGCUCAAUAUUUUAAAACCGAAUACGAAAAUCGAAGCCUUUUCUACUAUGUGUGACAUUUUUUGUAUAUAAAUAUAUAUUUUGCAUGGUCAGGUCAGUUCAAUGACCUCUUUGAUACUGAUUGAAUAAUAAUAUGUACACUGCUCGCAACUCCCUACAUGUAAUUUCUGUUGUGUAUAUAUUCAUGUAUAUCAUCUAAUUGUAAUAAGACAUGUUGUAUCAACAGGUUCAUAUUAUAAACAAAUAUUUACUCACCAUAUCUUUGAUAUUAAUCCUUAUUGGGAAUCAAAAUCAUUAAUCCAUUUUUUUAUGAAUGAACUACACAUCCCUUUAACAAAUCGCACGUGGUAAAUGAUCACUCGACCAGAAAUUUAAUGUAAUCGAAAUUAACAUAACAAAAGACUUGAUGUACGAUAAAAUUGAAACUGCUUAAUAAAUACAGGUAGCCUUUGUGAGAAAUAAAUGAAGAUAAAAAACAAACUUUAUUGAAAUAAUUAUAUAUGGUGAGAUGUAUAGAUAUAUAGAUCGAUAUUGAUUGCAGGUACAUGUACAUUUGUACAAGGAUAGAUAAUAUUUAUAAAGGUUGAUGUUAAUAAUUUAUAGUGGGAGUUUUUUUCUCAUUUGCUUUUCCCCGACAAAUGAGACUGUAAAAAUUGGGGCCCCCUUAGUUGCUUCCCUGGGCAACUGAGGGUUGAUGUAACAGGUGAUUGUUAAUAAAAUAUGUUUAAUAUUAAAAAACAAAAA